AAGAAGCUACUUUGUGCGUAUUGUUAAUUAAGUUUUAACCUUUAAGCUGUAAUAGGGAGUUUUAUAUCGAAGCUGGAAUGUCAUGCCUCCAUUGCAGAGGACGACAGGAACGUUUCUGCAAACAUCCACUUUGAGGAGUGGUGGUUUAAAACUUUCUUACUUGCAUACGGCAAGAUGUAGCGAAAGC
rnacentral:other from 1 species